UCAGACUGCCUGUAGAGCACCUGUGGCUACUAUCCAGUAGCUCAUCAUCAUCAGUGUGUGAAUGGCUGAAUGACUGACUGUAGUGUGAAUGUGAAGUACUUUGGAGUCCUCUGGACUUGAUAAAGCACUAUAAAAGUACAGGCCAUUUAUCAUUUACCACAGUUCAGAGUCAAAUAUUUAGCUAAUAUGUAAACUAACUUGCCAACAACCAGAAAUGUUAAAUAACUGUUAAACAUAUUUUCUUUGUUUUAAUGGUUGUUGUGUUGAUUACAGGGUGAUUUCUGUUAUCAAAAGGAAGCAAUGAAAAAAAAAGACUUGUUAAAGUGUUUGUUUGUCAUCUCACGUAUAUACAGCCAGUAUUACAAACUUGACGAUGGCUACAAAAAGUAACAGUUAUCCAAAUGCUAAUGGUGGUGUUUAUGCAAUAUUGACC